GACGAACGCUGGCGGCGUGCUUAACACAUGCAAGUCGAACUAAGUGGCGAACGGGUGAGUAACGCGUAAUCAACCUUCCCUUCAGCGGGGGACAACAGUUGGAAACGACUGCUAAUACCGCAUACUGAAGGAGGGGUUUGCGUCUGAUUAGCUAGUUGGAGGGGUAACGGCCCACCAAGGCGAUGAUCAGUAGCCGGGCGGAGAGGGUGAAAGGCCACAUGGGGACGGAGACAAGGCGCAGACUCUUACGGGAGGAAGAAGUGGGAAAGCGUGCGGAAGGGACGAAAGUCUGACGGAGCAAGGCCGGGUGAGUGAGGACGGCCUUCGGGUUGUAAAGCUCGGUUAAUCGGGACGCGGUACCGGAAUAGAAAGCCACGGCUAACUACGUGCCAGCAGCCGCGGUAAUAC
rnacentral:rRNA from 1 species